CUUUUCCAGGCUUUAGAUUCUUAAAAGGGUUACAAAUUCUGUCGGUUCAAUAUCCAAUGGUAGGUUUAAAGGGUGCUUUUUUUGUGUGGAAAGUGUACGAAAAGGAAACCUAUUCUAUAGUGGAUAAAAUGACGGGAAUCUUUGCAUCUAGAACUUCAUAGAGCACCCCCUCCCCCGGUUUUAAACCACAGAGAGCAGCUAGUCUCCAGCAGCAUUGCAUCCUAACCACUUUUUUCCCUCAAACAUUUAACAUUGUCAACCCAGCCAGACCCUGUGGAAGUUCUUAUACACAAGAAGAGAAUACUCGUUACUAGUGUUUCACUUCAACAAAGGCUAGAGAGCCUUUCACUGGGAAAGCCGUUGAAAACAAGAGGGGAAGUUCACUUCGAUUAAGACAAGAAAAGCUGCAAAGACUUGGUUGCUGAGAUUUUCUAUGAUUGCUCACUGGGCUUUGACCAGGUUGGUCACAGUUUCAAGAUUGUUUGAAAGCACGUUUAUUAACUAUGGUUUAUCAGAUAAAAAAGUGUAUUAUUCAUAGCGUUCAUUAUACAAUUCGGAACCUGGACACGUUACUUUUUCAGCAUUCAGAAAACUAUAUUGAGUUAUUUACAGUGCCCGAAUAUUCUAUCGCCUGACAGGGGUGAAAAUUUUGAAAUAUAUCUUAUUAACCAAGCGCGACGGCCGUACUGGGAGAAUAUCGGCCCGAGGUCUUG